rnacentral:rRNA from 1 species
UACAGAGGUCCCGAGCGUUGUUCGGAUUCACUGGGCGUAAAGGGUGCGUAGGUGGUGAGGUAAGUCGGAUGUGAAAUCUCCAAGCUCAACUUGGAAAUGGCAUUGGAAACUACCUUGCUGGAGGUUUGGAGGGGGGACUGGAAUUCUCGGUGUAGCAGUGAAAUGCGUAGAUAUCGUAAGGAAGACCAGUGGCGAAGGCGGGUCUCUGGACAGUUCCUGACGCUGAGGCACGAAGGCCAGGGGAGCAAACGGG